rnacentral:lncRNA from 10 species
ACGCUGGGUCUGCAGAUGCCAUCCAGGCGCACGGCGGGUAUAGUGGUUCCGCAACCUUGGGAUGUUCGGCUGAGCGCCUGCCUAACAUGGGAGCGCCUGCCUAACCCUCCUGACUGGAGGGUCAGCGGCGGGGAGUCCUGGCCUUCAAUCGGCCAUCGCCACGGCAGAAACUGGGGCCCGGGCUGCGUCCAGGCCCUUCCCCGUCCGUCCACAGGUCUCAUGGGCGCCCGGACUGGGGCUGAUGUAGUUUCCCGACCUCUGACACAUAGGAUCUGGAGAUUAAAGCUGCUCUGCUAAUAAUUAGGUUCCCACCUCUCAAGAUCAUUAGGAGCUUCUUUUCCAAUUCCUCUGUUUUGCAUGCAUUGGAAGGUAAGUUUCCUUGUAAACCAGAUUUUGGACUCUGCAGGCUUUGCCAAAUGGCCUUUUUACCCUCAUGUAUAUUGCAUUUUCUUUGGAUAGUCUCAUGGAUUCUCAAGGAUAUUGUAUUCCUGUAUUUUACCAUUCAUGAGUUUAGAAGUGUGUUUACUUUCCUGAGUUUUCAUUUUCUUUUUCUUCUGUCAUAUGUAAUUUACAGAGCAAAUACCUACCAGAAUGGAUAACUUGAGAGAUGUGGAAAGUGAGUUUCUUUGCGCUUAUCUAGUGAGGGUGAUUUUUAGUCAAUAAGCAUUUGGUAUAUGCCUGGGAAUCCAACAGCUGCUAUUUAGAUUCAGAGCCAGCCUUUAUUUAUCAGCUUUCUGAUGCUGAACCCAUCAGUGAACUUCUCUGUAUAUUUGAUUCAUCAUAAGGAAAAUGGUGACGCCGAGGGUGACUGAUUUCCAGGUUUACAUCGGUUGCCCCAGGGGAAGUGCCUGGCCCCCAUCUGGUCCUUGCUGCUCUAACUUUGCCCUGUUAAUUGAAGAAAUGCAGGUAUAAACACUUCCUGGGUUGUUGCUGGCAUUUAUUGUCCUCACAGUUUACAGAGAAGCCCAUAUUUUCAGCCUCUUCCUCUGCUUUCUGUCAUUUCUGAACCAUCUCACCCGACCUGGUGUAAUUUUCAUUGUGUGUGAGUUUGCACAGAUGUAAUUUGGGCCUACAUGUGUCCAAAGCCUAAUGCCCACCUCCCACCUCCACUAGGAUCUGGAGCUCAGGACCCACUACCUCCCCGGCCCACUGCAAGCUUGAACAUUUGAUGGUGGACACCCCUCCCUGACUUUGUAUUAUGUGUCACUGGUGUGGGGGUUACCUUCCCACUAUGUCUCCCAGAAGACAUGAGGGCACAGACUACAGUGCCUGUGGACAGAGGAGCUGUGGGGAUGGAAGUGUGAUUGCUUCAUUCAAAUGCACGCCCCGGUGCGUGUGCGUCUCUUCUGAUGCAGCUCCCCAUGGGUAAGCUCUGUGCUUCUCCACACAGUGGAUCAGGAGUGGAAACAUUCUGUCUGUUUAGCACUUGACGGUUUGGUGGUGACCUGAUGUCAUGGUGAUAAUAGAGGCAAUGAUCCUAACAGCUUAGAACUGUUCAGCUUGGCCGGGCCUGGUGGCUCACACCUGUAAUCCCAGCACUUUGGGAGACUGAGGUGGGGGUAUCACCUGAGGUCAGGAGUUUGAGACCAGGCUGGCCAACAUGGCGAAACCCCGUCUCUACUAAAAAUACAAAAAUUAGCCGGGUAUGGUGGCACACGCCUGUAAUCCCAGCUACUUGGGAGGCUGAGGCAGGAGAAUCGCUUGAACCCGGAAGGUGGAGGCUUCAGUGAGCUGAGAUCUUGCCAUUGCACUCCAGCCUGGGUGACGGAGCGAGACUCUGUCUCAAAAAAAAAAAAAAAUUGUUCAGCUUGUGGGUAGGUAUUUGGGAAACAUUAUAUGUAUUACCUAGUCUUAGUUAUCUGCAGUGGUUUUGUUAUUUUUUGCAUAAACUGCUGAGAAUGUUUAAUAAUUGUAGAUGAUAGAUCACUAGUCACUCUAAAAUCUUCCCAUUUCUUGGUCUAGAGCUGGGGCUGGAUCCCUCAGCAACGAGGAGACCUGAAAACUAGAGGAAAAAAAGCAGGUCCUCCCUAUAAACCACUCAUCUGUGCUCUCUUCCAAUUUAUUCUCCUUUUGUGUACAUCAUUUUAAGGGGCUAUAAUCAUCUUGUUCAGACCUCAGGAUAUAAAAUGACCCAUCUGUAGACCUCCAGCCGUAUCCCAAAGUUGUCUGUUUUGUUUUUUUUUGAAAUUCCUGACAAGUUUCAGUUGUAGCUGUGCCCUGAGGAAACAUUCCCGAUUCCCGGAGUAGCUUCCAGGUUAAAGUCCUGUAGGCUUCUUCUGUUUUUAGAAAUUCCUAUCAGAGAAAGACCUGAUUUUGGAUUUUUAGCUUUAAUGCUUGUGAAAAGCUAUAAAAAUAAUUUUCUACGCCUAGCUUUGAAGUACUGUUAGUGAGAAAUUAAAAUUCCUUCAGGAGGAUUAAACUGCCAUUUCUGUUACCCUAAUUACAAAAGUUUUGGUUGUUAGAAUUUUCUUUACUGUUCAUGAAGAAGUAUUUUAUAUUUUCCUUCGACAUUCAUUCUCUUUAGCAGGUAAUUUUGAACUUUAGUUUCUUAAAUACCCAAAUUUGGUUUUUCCUCAGUCUUCUCUCUGCUACAGAUUUCUAACUUAACAGGAAAGGCAGUUUUCCUCAAAAAGGGCAAAGAACAGCGGGAACAGUAGAGGGCACCUUCAACCCCAGCAUGGAAUUGACGUUCCUGCUUCAAAAUGAACCAUCACAGCAAUCUUGGCUUUUUGAUUUGGACCCUCAUUUCUCUUAUAAUUUGAACUUAUAUUGGAGAGAAGGGGCCUGUCUCUUAAGCCAGCUAGUUUUUGUACUGGAUAUUUAUAUAUCAUUUCAUUUGUUCCUUAGUGUUUUUUCAUUUCUAUUAUGAUUUGUUCUGUGGGAUGUGACUUACCGGUGUGUUUUUCACGUUUAUAAAGCUGAAUACUUCUGUAUGUCAGCUUAGCACCCCUAGCAUCAGCCAUGCUACUCUCCUGCUGUGCAUAGAUGGGGGCCUGUCCCCCUGCUGAAUCUCCUGGGUUCCUGCUGUCAACACCUGAAGGUACCCACCAGAUGUGUCUGUCACUUCCCUCCAUCCACCUCUCUUGUGUUUCUCAUGUUUCUGCCUCCCUAGAGACCAUUUCUCUCUAGAGCAGUGCUUUCCAAUAGAAAUACAAUGCCAGACACAUACGUCAUUUUAGAUUUUCUAGUAGUCACUUUAGAAAAGUUAAAAAGAGGCUGGGCAUGGUAGCUCACACCUGUAAUCCCAGCACUUUGGGAGGCUGAGGUGGGCAGAUUAGCUGAGGUCAGGAGUUCGAGACCAGCCUGGCCAACAUGGUGAAACCCCGUCACUACUAAAAAUACAAAAAUUAGCCGGGUAUGGUAGCAGGUGCCUGGGAUUACAGCCUCCCGAGUAGGCUGAGACAUGAGAAUCACUUGAUUCUGGGAGGUGGAGGCUGCAGUGAGCCGAGGUCAUGUGCACCACUGCAAUCCAACCUUGGCAACAGAGCAAGACUUUGUCUCACACAAAAAAAAGAAAAGAAAGAAAAGUUAAAAGGGAGCAGGUGAAAUUAAUAAUGUGUUUUAUUUCACCUAAAAUGUUAGUAUUAUCCAGAAUAUCACUUCAACGUCUUAUCAAAAUAAAAAUUAUUAAUGAGAUAGUUUGCAUUCUUCCUCUUUUUUGAGAUGGGCUCUUGCUUUUUUUUUGGCCCAGGCUGGAAUGCAGUGGCACCAGCAUAGCUCACUGCAGCCUCAAACUCCUGGGCUCGAGAUCCUCCUGCCUCAGCCUUCCUAGUAGUUAGGACUACAGGCACACACCACCAUGCCCAGCUAAUUGUUUUUCUUUUUUGUUUGUUUGUUUUUCUUUUUUUUCUUUUUUCUUUUUUUUUUUUUUUUGAGAGGAAAUCUCACUCUGUCACCCAGGGUGGAGUGCAAUGGCAUGAUCUCAGCUCAUUGCAACCUCCGCCUCCCAGGUUUAAGUGAUUUUCCUGUCUCAGCCUCCCAAGUAGCUGG